UUCCUUCGAUUACAAUUCCUCUCCACUGAACUUACAACCUUGCGAUAAAUAGUGACUGAAUACUUCCAUACAUCAUCAAUCUUUCAUAACAAUUGAUAAACAAUGAUCCAUAAAUAACUUUGUAAAUCAAACAUUGAUUCAUUAAAUCGAUUCUCUUUACUAGAAUCAAUACUAAUACAAAAGAAAUAAGAAAACUAAGAAGAAGAGAUAGCACCAAGCUUAUCCCCUGCUUAGUACUAUCACAGUUUGGCAUUUUCUUCCUCUCUUCCAUCUUCCUUAUACUACCUCAAGAUACCAACUCCUAUACUAUGGAUGAUAACUACUUUUCUUGACUAUUCAUCUAUUCUAUCUGUUGAACCACCUUUUCAACAGUUAUCUAUCCUUG
rnacentral:lncRNA from 1 species